rnacentral:tRNA from 1 species
AGAUAAUGAAGUAAAAUUUACAUUUAGUUUCGACCUAAUAUUAGAGAUAUUAUUUCUCCUUAUCUA